GAUGUUCUUAAUCGUUCGCGGAGCUAUGGCUCUGCGAAGAAAGGCGCUACGGCGCCGCCUCAGGAGGGGCCCGCGUCCCAUUAGCUAGUUGGUAAGGUAAAGGCUUACCAAGGCGAAGAUGGGUAGCCGGCCUGAGAGGGUGAACGGCCACACUGGGACUGAGAUACGGCCCAGACUCCUACGGGAGGCAGCAGCUAAGAAUAUUCCGCAAUGGGCGAAAGCCUGACGGAGCGACGCCGCGUGGAUGAGGAAGGCCGAAAGGUUGUAAAAUCCUUUUGCGGGCGAAGAAUAAGCGCGGCAGGGAAUGGCUGCGCGAUGACGUUAGCCCGCGAAUAAGCCCCGGCUAAUUACGUGCCAGCAGCCGCGGUAACACGUAAGGGGCGAGCGUUGUUCGGAAUUAUUGGGCGUAAAGGGCGCGUAGGCGGCCCGUUAAGUCUGAUGUGAAAACCCCGGGCCCAACCCGGGAACUGCAUUGGAAACUGGCGGGCUUGAGUCACGGAGGGGGAACCGGAAUUCCUGGUGUAGGGGUGAAAUCUGUAGAUAU
rnacentral:rRNA from 1 species